rnacentral:lncRNA from 1 species
UAUCCCUUUAUCUCUUUCCAAAAUAAUACUAUUCAUUCUCUCUUUUGCAUCUCUCUUAAUUCCUUACACAAAACAAAUGGAUUCUUCUUCUCUAUUUAUUUCCACAAUUCAACGAAUACUAUCUUCUUGACGAGUUCAUCUACAAUAGUCUUUAUGUCAGUUUGUUUGAUAUCCACCACAAUUUUGAAGGGGUUUCAAGCGAGUACAUGACACUACAUGAGAAAUCUUUUCAAUUCACAUGUUGAUAAAAUCAUAUGGCCGC